rnacentral:misc_RNA from 1 species
AGUUUUUUAUUAAGUUAAAAAAGAGAAAACACAUGGAAGGAAGGGAAUAUUGGGAAGUAAAAAGUUCUUGACUUCUGCAAGACAUGACUCUACUGUGUUAUUAGCUUAGGUCGGGUUGAAUUUCCAGUCUUCGGCUGGAGUUCAUCCUGAGGCCGAGGUUCUUUUCCUUAUCUGCAUUAACAAAAGUAUCUCCUUUUUCUGUCCAAGAGACUCAGCAAUCGACUCUGACUCGGUGUUCGACCACUGAAUGAGACAAAAACAAAACCAUAUUUAUUUAAUACACAUGCAUGCACAAAAUUAACCAUUUUGAUAUGGAAUAGUGUAACUGAUAAUGUUUUCUAUUGUAGAUUUUUUUUUUUUUGAUAAUUCAAGCUACAAAGAAACUGAAACAUUCUUAACAUUCUUGUAUUAUAGUUUUCUUCUUUCUUUGUUUAUUCAACAAAUUUCAUAGCUGUAAGAAAAUAUAACAUUAAAUUAUUGAAUGCAGAUGGAGAAAAGGAGU